UGGGGAAUUUUGGACAAUGGGCGAAAGCCUGAUCCAGCAAUGCCGCGUGUGUGAAGAAGGCCUUCGGGUUGUAAAGCACUUUUGUCCGGAAAGAAAUCCUUGGCUCUAAUACAGUCGGGGGAUGACGGUACCGGAAGAAUAAGCACCGGCUAACUACGUGCCAGCAGCCGCGGUAAUACGUAGGGUGCAAGCGUUAAUCGGAAUUACUGGGCGUAAAGCGUGCGCAGGCGGUUUGCUAAGACCGAUGUGAAAUCCCCGGGCUCAACCUGGGAACUGCAUUGGUGACUGGGCAGGCUAGAGUAUGGCAGAGGGGGGUUAGAAUUCCACGUGUAGCAGUGAAAUGCGUAGAGAUGUGGAGGAAUACCGAUGGCGAAGGCAGCCCCCUGGGCCAAUACUGACGCUCAUGCACGAAA
rnacentral:rRNA from 1 species